rnacentral:rRNA from 1 species
GAGAGUUUGAUCCUGGCUCAGGACGAACGCUGGCGGCGUGCUUAACACAUGCAAGGCGAACGCGAAAGGGACUUCGGUCCCGAGUAGAGUGGCGCACGGGUGAGGAACGCGUAAGUAAUCUACCCCCGCAUUCGGAAUAACUCGUC